UACGGAGGGUGCAAACGUUGCUCGGAAUCAUUGGGCGUAAAGCGCACGUAGGCGGCCUGAUAAGUCGGGUGUGAAAGCCCUGGGCUCAACCCAGGAAGUGCACUCGAAACUGUCAGGCUUGAAUAUGGAAGAGGGUCGCGGAAUUCCCGGUGUAGAGGUGAAAUUCGUAGAUAUCGGGAGGAACACCAGUGGCGAAGGCGGCGACCUGGACGGACACUGACGCUGAGACGCGAAAGCGUGGGGAGCAAACAGG
rnacentral:rRNA from 1 species